AUAGUUUUCAAUGUGUAUUUACUUUCCUAUACAUUAUUAGGAAUAUAAACAAAAUAUCAACAUGCAAGUUUAGAGGCAACAAAAACAGAAAGGUCUUUGAAAAUAAAGUCUUAAAGCUUCCUGGAGAAUGUUUCAAGACAAGGAAACAAUUACGUCUCAACCUAAGUUCAAAGUUCAAAGUUUAUUUGUACACCGGAUACACCAAAGAGCUAGCUAUUUAUAGUUUUAUUUUCUCGAGAAGUAUUUUCCCACGUUCUGACAGAGUUGCUCAUUUUUCACAUGUGUACAGUCUACCCUACAUUCUACCCUAUAGUCUACCCUACAUUCUACCCUAUAGUCUACCCUAUAGUCUACCCUACAU